AACGAACGCUGGCGGCGUGUCUUAAGCAUGCAAGUCGUGCGGCAAGGCGGGGCAACCCGCCCUAGAGCGGCGGACUGGUGAGUAACGCGUGGGUGAUCUGCCCUUGGGAUGGGGAUAGCCAUUAGAAAUAGUGGGUAAUACCGAAUACGUUCAUCCGGUUACGGCCGGAUGAGGAAAAGCGCUUCGGCGCUGCCCGAGGAUGAGCCCGCGUCCCAUUAGCUAGUUGGUGAGGUAAAGGCCCACCAAGGCGAUGAUGGGUAGCCGGCCUGAGAGGGUGUACGGCCACACUGGGACUGAGAUACGGCCCAGACUCCUACGGGAGGCAGCAGCUAAGAAUAUUCCGCAAUGGACGAAAGUCUGACGGAGCGACGCCGCGUGGAUGACGAAGGCCGAAAGGUUGUAAAGUCCUUUUGUUGGGGAAGAAUAACCAUGGGAGGGAAUGCCCGUGGGAUGACAUGAACCGACGAAUAAGCCCCGGCUAACUACGUGCCAGCAGCCGC
rnacentral:rRNA from 1 species